rnacentral:rRNA from 1 species
UACGUAGGAUGCUAGCGUUGUCCGGAUUUACUGGGCGUAAAGCGCGCGCAGGCGGCACCUCAAGUACUCUCUGAAAUCCACCUGCUCAACGGGUGGGGUGGAGAGUAGACUGAGGAGCUAGAGAGAGGUAGAGGGGGGUAGAAUUGCUGGUGUAGCGGUGAAAUGCGUAGAGAUCAGCAGGAAUACCCGUGGCGAAGGCGGCCCCCUGGGCCUCUUCUGACGCCGAGGCGCGAAGGCUGGGGGAGCGAACGGG